GAAACAAAAGGAGAUAUCAAGAGGAUGGAUUCGACUUAGACUUGACCUGUAUCCAUUUCUACGGCUGCUCCUCUUUACCUUUCUGUCACUCUCUUAGAACGUGGGAGUAGACGGAUGCGAAAAUGUCCGUAGUUUGCGUGACUAUAACAUUUAACCCUGGUCAGGUUGCUAGAUCAUAUAUUUUGUGUUUUCUUUCUGUGUAUUCGACCUAGGGUGUGUUUGGCUAGACGGAACUCUUGCCUCGUUGCAAGUGUCAAGCCACCGAUUGCUUUCUUAGGCUAUCUAUAUGGUCUCUUCCUGAGGGCUAUUGUCCGUUAAUACAGAAUACAGUACACUGUUAGUGGAUUAGCGAGCUCGGUAAUCCGGUCUCCUAAAUGAACAAAAAAGUAGACGCUUUUUCAGGUUGAGCAUAUUUCGAUUAAAUCUUGGCUUAGGCCCUAGAUGAAGGGUUUAGAUCAGAAUAAAAUGAAAAUUAGUGUUGCACGUACGCAUAUUGCAUCAGAAUCUUGCAGUGAUUGUUUUAGUUUCCUGAGUUGCAUUGAUAGAUUUUUUUAAAAUAUGACUUAUUUGCAUAACUUUAGAAGCAGAAUCAUUUUCAGUAUAUAUGGUGCACAUUGAGGGCAAAAAGUAGUUUUGUUAAUGUUUAAACUUAAGUUACUUACAACUUUGAACUGUAUUUAGAAGUUUUGUAGUUUGAAAUCAGUAGUGCCAUAAUAUACCUUAUAAGGCGUUCUUACUAGAUCUUUGUUAUAUUUACCUUUUUCUCUCCCUAUGGGGUGAUGUAGGAUAGUGCUUGAAAUUUGCACUUCAGUAGCGUUUAAUGUUCAGUGCUCUUGUCAUAAACAUAGAAUGGAUAUUGAGUAGUUUUUGAUCCCAGAUGAUAAUGUGUAGGUUCAAGGGUAUUGUGUGUAGCAAGUGAAGAUUGCAGAGAGAAAACUUCAGUUCAUGCUUGAAAUUUAAGUAUUGUUCUGAUGCCAGAAUUGCUGCUCACCGUUUUUAGGUUUCAGGUCCUCUGAUACCUUUUGGUAUCGUUAAUUUUACUGGUUUGUGUAGAAUGUCAGGUGUAUUUUACCAGCUAAUGUCUAGAAAUGCUGGCAAGAGGGGUUUACUCCAGCUUUAGAUUGUGGGUAUGUUAGCUUUUCUCAUACAGUGUAUUAAAUUUACUGAGUCAGCUUGCUGAAUAAGACAGAAGCCCAAGAAAUUUAACAGUGUGUAGCUUUAGUUGUCUAAAAGUUAGGCCUUCGAGCUUCAAAAGUUAGUGGUCAUCGAAAAGCAUUAAUCUUUGCAGUUUAAGGUACAACACACUGGUUUUGAUUAGGGAUGGGGAUGGGGCCCUCUUUUUGCAGAAUGGAAAGUAUUGACAGGAAUUGAGAGCUAUUGGUAGGCCAGUGUAUAAGGUAUGUGAAAACAGAAUUAAGUUAUUGGUCUGAAGUGACUGAAGCAUUUAGGCUCUAUCAAGGCCUAAAAUUUGGUAAUAUGAGUUUGGUAAUGUGAAUUGUGGCAGUGGACAAUAUUUAGUUAAAAUUAUGUAAUUGCAUAAGUACUAGCACAGUAUUUUUAAUAAAAAUUAUAUCUUAGC
rnacentral:sRNA from 1 species